GACGAACGCUGGCGGCGUGCUUAACACAUGCAAGUCGAACGGUGAAGCGCCUUCCUUUUUGGUGGGUGUGGAUGAGUGGCGAACGGGUGAGUAACACGUGAGUAACCUGCCCCCUUCUUCUGGAUAACCGCAUGAAAGUGUGGCUAAUACGGGAUAUUCUGGGUCUGUCGCAUGAUGGGUCUGGGAAAGAUAUUGUUUCGGUGGGGGAUGGGCUCGCGGCCUAUCAGCUUGUUGGUGGGGUGAUGGCCUACCAAGGCGGUGACGGGUAGCCGGCCUGAGAGGGUGGACGGUCACACUGGGACUGAGACACGGCGCAGACUCCUACGGGAGGCAGCAGGGGGGAAUAUUGCACAAUGGGCGCAAGCCUGAUGCAGCGACGCCGCGUGAGGGAUGGAGGCCUUCGGGUUGUGAACCUCUUCCGCCAGUGAAGCAGGCCUGCCUCGUUUGUGGGUGGGUUGACGGUAGCUGGAUAAGAAGCGCCGGCUAACUACGUG
rnacentral:rRNA from 1 species